GAGUUCCUCUAUUCUUGUAUUUGCUCUUUUCUCUCCUGAUUUUGCUUUGCUUCUCUUCAUGUUCGUAGACUCUUCGCGUUGUGUGGUGGUAUGUUUGUGUGUAACAACGGAACUUUCGCUGCAAGGUUGGAGGGGGUGGGCGUCGAGUGUGUUGUUUAUCAGCUGUGAUCUGUGCGUGUGAAACUUUUUCGGUGUGCUGAAACGGGUGAGUAAGAGUAAGAUUAGAAACAGAAUGCCGUGUGCAUGUAUACCUCAGCCUGAAGACUGAACCACCAGACUUGCUCAGAGCAGGAAUGAAAUACACGUAAUAUAAAUUGGAGCGUGGUACGCUUGCGCGUAGCAGAUCAUGGUGUGGUUAAGAAGAAAAAAAGAAGCAGUGCUACAGUUGUACUAGACGCUGGAAUGGCUUGUAUCGGUUGAAAUUUUCUUAUAUUUCAGAUUCAAAAAUCUGUUUGCUCUACAAAGUCGAUGAGUGCAUCUAAUCAGUUCUGCAGCGCCAUGGUGAACGUUGGGAGGUGUUGGCACGGAAGACGGAGCGGGAAAAGGUUCACGACAACUAUGCGGUGAGGAGGAUAUCAACGGAUUGUGCAUUUACAGUUAGCGGGUGAGCACACGCUGUACCUCGUAGGAGAACCUGGCCAUGGGUAUCGGAGAAUGCAUAUCGUAUGCCGGAAUCGUGCUUGGCCUUGAACACUGACUCUGCUCAAUCACGGGUUCCAAAUUGGUCAUUACGUUACCGGCGGCUUGCCAGCAAUCAGCAUUGGGUGUUCUUUUUCCGUUCAGUUCUUCCUACCGUCCUUCUGUGUAUAAAGUGCCUUCCAUUAACAUCUCCCGACAGCAAUGGUUGCUUCUAGCACGGAUUAUGAUGGUGCUGUUGCUGAAGAGGAAUGUUGUGUUGCCUGGUUGCACUGGACAGGAUAGUCAGUGCGAUAGUGUUAGGUGCUAGAAAUACAAGAUGUAAAUAUAAAAUGAUUACUUUACAUGUUAAUACAGAAGAGGUGAUUAUAUAGGUUAUAGAAUUACGGCUUUUACUUACUAAUAAAAACAUGAACGAGCGAAA